rnacentral:rRNA from 1 species
CAGCAGCCGCGGUAAUACGGAGGGUGCAAGCGUUACUCGGAAUCACUGGGCGUAAAGCGCGCGCAGGCGGCCUUUUAAGUUGGAUGUGAAAGCCUACGGCUCAACCGUAGAACUGCAUCCAAAACUAUCAGGCUAGAGUGUGGGAGAGGAAGAUGGAAUUAGUUGUGUAGGGGUAAAAUCCGUAGAGAUAACUAGGAAUACCAAAAGCGAAGGCAAUCUUCUGGAACAUUACUGACGCUGAGGCGCGAAAGCGUGGGGAGCAAACAGGAUUAGAUACCCUGGUAGUCCACGCCCUAAACGAUGAAUGUUAGUCGUCGGGUAGCUAGUCUAUUCGGUGAUGCAGCUAACGCAUUAAACAUUCCGCCUGGGGAGUACGGUCGCAAGAUUAAAACUCAAAGGAAUAGACGGGGACCCGCACAAGUGGUGGAGCAUGUGGUUUAAUUCGAAGAUACGCGAAGAACCUUACCUAGCCUUGACAUAUAUUAGAACACUUUAGAGAUAGAGUGGUGCCUUCGGGAGCUUUUAUACAGGUGCUGCACGGCUGUCGUCAGCUCGUGUCGUGAGAUGUUGGGUUAAGUCCCGCAACGAGCGCAACCCUCGUCACUAGUUACUAACGGUUCGGCCGAGGACUCUAGUGAGACUGCCUUCGUAAGGAGGAGGAAGGUGAGGACGACGUCAAGUCAUCAUGGCCCCUACGGCUAGGGCAACACACGUGCUACAAUGGCCAGGACAAUGAGACGCGAUACCGCGAGGUGGAGCAAAU